rnacentral:rRNA from 1 species
GAACCUUACCUGGUCUUGACAUAGUAAGAACUUUCCAGAGAUGGAUUGGUGCCUUCGGGAACUUACAUACAGGUGCUGCAUGGCUGUCGUCAGCUCGUGUCGUGAGAUGUUGGGUUAAGUCCCGCAACGAGCGCAACCCUUUUCCUUAUUUGCCAGCGGGUUAAGCCGGGAACUUUAAGGAUACUGCCAGUGACAAACUGGAGGAAGGCGGGGACGACGUCAAGUCAUCAUGGCCCUUACGACCAGGGCUACACACGUGCUACAAUGGUCGGUACAAAGGGUUGCUACCUAGCGAUAGGAUGCUAAUCUCAAAAAGCCGAUCGUAGUCCGGAUUGGAGUCUGCAACUCGACUCCAUGAAGUCGGAAUCACUAGUAAUCGCGGAUCAGAAUGCCGCGGUGAAUACGUUCCCGGGCCUUGUACACACCGCCCGUCACACCAUGGGAGUUUGUUGCACCAGAAGUAGGUAGUCUAACCGCAAGGAGGACGCUUACCACGGUGUGGCCGAUGACUGGGGUGAAGUCGUAACAAGGUAAGCGUAGAUGA